rnacentral:sRNA from 1 species
AACAAUGCCGGCAUAUUUUCCAUGGGAG